GUUAUCAAUGAGUCGGAGAAAAAAUGAUACCAUACAGGGAUUGCCCGUAGUAACGGCGAGUGAACAGGCAAGAGCUCAGAUUUGAAAGGCACUUUUGUGCCGUUGUAUUCUGAAGUUAGGGUCCUGAGAUAACGAUGCUUAAGUCUUCUGGAAAGGAGCGCCAUGGAGGGUGAUAGCCCCGUCUAGCAUUGACCUCAUAUAGGAUCUUAACAUGGAGUCGAGUUGUUUGGGAAUGCAGCUCAAAUGGGUGGUAUGCUCCAUCUAAAGCUAAAUAUCUGCGAGAGACCGAUAGUAAACAAGUACUGUGAGGGAAAGAUGAAAAGAACUUUGAAAAGAGAGUGAAAAAGUACGUGAAAUUGUUGAAAUGGAAGGGUAGGCCGCUAACCAUGUAGAGCCGUGUUUGGGGGGAAGAUAAAUGCUGUAGAAUGUAGCUCCUCGGAGUAUUAUAGAUGCAGUUCAUAUUCCCACCCGAGUCGUCGAGGAUCUCAGUGUUCUUACUAAAGUGUGGUAUCACCUGUCGUAU
rnacentral:rRNA from 1 species